rnacentral:rRNA from 1 species
UACGUAGGGACCAAGCGUUGUUCGGAUUUACUGGGCGUAAAGGGCGCGUAGGCGGCAAUUCAAGUCAUCUGUGGAAUCUCCGGGCUUAACCCGGAACGGUCAGAUGAUACUGCUUUGCUAGAGUGCGGAAGGGGCAAUCGGAAUUCUUGGUGUAGCGGUGAAAUGCGUAGAUAUCAAGAGGAACACCUGAGGUGAAGACGGGUUGCUGGGCCGACACUGACGCUGACAGCGCGAAAGCCAGGGGAGCAAACGGG